AAAUCCGGUUCACUUUAACACUGAGGCGUGACGACGAGGCACUACGGUGCUGAAGCAACAAAUGCCCUGCUUCCAGGAAAAGCCUCUAAGCAUCAGGUAACAUCAAAUCGUACCCCAAACCGACACAGGUGGUCAGGUAGAGAAUACCAAGGCGCUUGAGAGAACUCGGGUGAAGGAACUAGGCAAAAUGGUGCCGUAACUUCGGGAGAAGGCACGCUGACACGUAGGUGAAGUGAUUUACUCAUGGAGCUGAAGUCAGUCGAAGAUACCAGCUGGCUGCAACUGUUUAUUAAAAACACAGCACUGUGCAAACACGAAAGUGGACGUAUACGGUGUGACGCCUGCCCGGUGCCGGAAGGUUAAUUGAUGGGGUCAGCGCAAGCGAAGCUCCUGAUCGAAGCCCCGGUAAACGGCGGCCGUAACUAUAACGGUCCUAAGGUAGCGAAAUUCCUUGUCGGGUAAGUUCCGACCUGCACGAAUGGCGUAAUGAUGGCCAGGCUGUCUCCACCCGAGACUCAGUGAAAUUGAACUCGCUGUGAAGAUGCAGUGUACCCGCGGCAAGACGGAAAGACCCCGUGAACCUUUACUAUAGCUUGACACUGAACAUUGAGCCUUGAUGUGUAGGAUAGGUGGGAGGCUUUGAAGUGUGGACGCCAGUCUGCAUGGAGCCGACCUUGAAAUACCACCCUUUAAUGUUUGAUGUUCUAACGUGGACCCGUUACCCGGGUUGCGGACAGUGUCUGGUGGGUAGUUUGACUGGGGCGGUCUCCUCCUAAAGAGUAACGGAGGAGCACGAAGGUUGGCUAAUCCUGGUCGGACAUCAGGAGGUUAGUGCAAUGGCAUAAGCCAGCUUGACUGCGAGCGUGACGGCGCGAGCAGGUGCGAAAGCAGGUCAUAGUGAUCCGGUGGUUCUGAAUGGAAGGGCCAUCGCUCAACGGAUAAAAGGUACUCCGGGGAUAACAGGCUGAUACCGCCCAAGAGUUCAUAUCGACGGCGGUGUUUGGCACCUCGAUGUCGGCUCAUCACAUCCUGGGGCUGAAGUAGGUCCCAAGGGUAUGGCUGUUCGCCAUUUAAAGUGGUACGCGAGCUGGGUUUAGAACGUCGUGAGACAGUUCGGUCCCUAUCUGCCGUGGGCGCUGGAGAACUGAGGGGGGCUGCUCCUAGUACGAGAGGACCGGAGUGGACGCAUCACUGGUGUUCGGGUUGUCAUGCCAAUGGCACUGCCCGGUAGCUAAAUGCGGAAGAGAUAAGUGCUGAAAGCAUCUAAGCACGAAACUUGCCCCGAGAUGAGUUCUCCCUGAGACUUAAAGUCUCCUGAAGGAACGUUGAAGACGACGACGU
rnacentral:rRNA from 1 species